UAUAUAGAAAGAUAGAUAGAUGAAUACCAAAUGCAACAGGAGAGAAGUAGGAGAUAAAUAACGUAAUUUGUGUAGCAGUGGAUUUCGAAAACCAAACCGACUGAAAGCACAACCUACAAUGAAUCAAGUUGUAGCGAGAGAUUCUACUAUUAAAGCGAUUAUUUUA